rnacentral:sRNA from 1 species
CGUUUCGAUUCGAUUGGGAUACUCAUCAAAUUAAUACGAAAACCGGGUCGUUCUUUAGUCUAUGGCGGGCCAUAUCAUUCGUUUAGGCGAGGAAAUUCUUCGGAAUCCGGUGGAUUACAAAAACUAAAGGUACACUCAAAUGUUAAAACUCGGAGUUUUCAUCACAUCGUCGAGCGGUCCCU